CGCGGCGACGUGGCGGCCAUCUUGUGUUGUCGGGGCUGAGGGCUGACUGGGACUCCGAGAGACUCUUCGUCCGGGACCGCAGAUGGGGACACUGAGGCGGGCAGAGGCGUCGAGUGACUCGCCCAGGGUCACCCAGCUCGUGCGUGUCUGAGCCGGAUUUGAACUCAGGUCUCCCCGACUCUGCCCACUGGACCGCCGGCCGCCUCUAGUCCAAGGUCACCCAGAUAGAGGAGGAGCCUAGGAGGACCCUGGGCCCUAGGGAGGUUUGAUGACUUGCCCAAGGCCGCUAAGCGGGACCUCGGCUCUGGGCCCUCACAGAUUUUGUUAUAUGCAUCUAAAAACCAGAGAAGAGGUCUGUAGGAGUUACCCGGCUUGCUUGAGCGGCCCAGACCCGAGUAAGGUGAACAACCCGAAGAUAAGAGAAUGCACGCUGGCCUUCCUCCUCGCUGACCCCAAAAUUUAUGCAGUGGACAGUUAGGGUUUGUGACUGAGUGCGGGGAUACAGAGAUAAAAAGACCUCUCAGAAGGCACUUACGGAGGAGUGCAAAGGGACACAUUGGGAGACAGCUCUUGCCUUCACAGAGCUUAGCUUCUGUAGUAGUAGUGCUCCAUAUUGUUUAGCAUAUUGUUGUAGUGAAAGUCAAAACACGUAAAACUCUACUUCUUUUUUGGUAUGGGGAGAAGUUCCUUUCCCUCCAAGGUAAAUAUUCCAAUUUUGCUUUCAAAAAGGUUAAGACUGUCUAGAUGUCAGAUAGAUGGCAGGUGGUAUUGAUGUCCAAUUUUGUCUUAAUACCUGGAGAAGAGCAAGUUAUAUUUAUUAAACUUAAUUCUCUGUUGUAAAGUCAUGCUUUUAAAAUAUCUAUUUGCUUUUUCAAAAAAAAAAAUCCUUUUUUCAUAUCUUCAUUCUGGGCAUCAUCACUUUCCGCAGUAUUUUCCCAUUCUAGAUAGAUAACAACUAAUUUCUCUUACUAAACAUUGACGUUUUUUAUGUGUUUUUAGCAGUUACAGAGUGGACAAACUGGUAUACAUACUUGGCUGUUGCAUCAAGAGUUUCUCAUCAGACCUAACACCAGGAAAGAGUUUCAAAGUGGGAUGUACCUGGAAAAUUGACAUGAUUCCACUCACAUUUAAUUCUGAGAAUCGUGUUAGCAAAUGGUACCAAUUUUACUGGAAAUAAGAGUUCCACGUCAUUUUGGCCCUUGAUAACUUCUUUUUCAAUUUUGAAAUAACUACCUGCUUUUAAGAGUUGGGCUUGGGAGAGCCAAUGGAUGUAUUUGUACAAAUUUGAAAAGCUGUUCAUAUGUUGUGUAGCACAGUAGGUGCCAACUGUGUAUUGACUAUUGUGUAAGCUGUCUAGGGAGAACGGGACUUAAGGAGUUCACUUAGUCUAUGCCCUUUUCCGAUAUGAAACUUAGGCCUUCCCCAUAUAACUUAGCUUCUUUUGUUUGGGGGGUUGUUUUCUCUUUACUCAUUCUUCCCUUCUUCCCCUCACCUUCCCCUUUUCCCCAAUGCCCUUUUACAGGGCAGUCACAUUCUAGAUAUGUGGAUUUGUUUUGACUCAGAAUGCUUACUAAAUUCAGGUAGCACAUCAAGGAAGUUGGUGUGAACUGGUUUGUUAGACUUUGAAGCUACCUGGUCUCCAAUAAAAAGUACUUUUAAUGAGACUGAUGCUAUGCUGUUACUGGUGUUUUUCUAGAACAGCCACCUACUGAAGGAAUCUUUUGAGGGGGUGUGUUGGGGAGAAGACUGGCUAGUAAUUCCACAAGUAUCUUUUGUCUUGCAAAAUUAGAUACUUAAUGAAUAUAACCAGAAGAUAUUCUGUUGUUCAUUCUAGUUGGCAGCAUUUUAGCUCAUCUAGCUUUUCUUGAGUUGGUAAGAAAUUGGUCUUUUCCAGGUUUUUAGGAAGCCUCCUUUUAAAGGUUUUAGGGCCUCCUUCAGCCAAUUUGGCUGCCUUUAUGGUAAAUGUAGGAUUUCGUCUUCAGAGAAGUCUUCCUUUGUGUUGAGUUUAUUUUACUCUUAGAGUUUUUUUUGUCAUUUGCAGUUAUUCCUCAAGUUCAUUGGUUAUUUUUAAUGCAGAGAUAUUUUUACUUAAAAAUAACAUCUUGAUUUCCAACUUGUCUGUACCUUGCUGAUAUUGGUUG